UGCUGAGGCAGGUGCCCCUGAGUCUGCCCUUUCUUCCUCAAGGUCAGGUGAACGGAAUGGGGUAUUAAGGUGCCUGCGAUGCAGGAAGUUGAAAUCUGGCCUUACCAAGUCUGCAGGCAUGCUUGAUUCAUGAGUGACUGUCACUUUUGGAAUGGUGGCUAUUUGGUGACAGAGCUUUUGAGCUAAUGUCUAAGUGGAUGUUCAAUUUACUUAAUGUGAUUCAAGAGCUGCAUACUGGGGACCUACUAUGUGCCAACCAUAAUGCCAGGUGCUGCCAGAGUUACAAACACGAGAGGCUGCAGAGGUGUACUGCCUGGUUUGAAGUCAACCCGAACUAGAGCCAUCAGAGAGGAAGGAGACUCAGCUGAGGAAGUACCUCCAUGAGAUCCAGCUGUAAGGCAUGUUCUCAAUGAGUGAUCAAUGGCGAGGGGAGGGGGCAGCCCAUUGUGGGUGGUGCCAUUCCUAGGCUGGCGGUUCUGGGUUCUAUUAAAAAAAAAAAAUCAGGUUGAGCAAGCCGUGGAAAGAGCAAGCAGAAAGCAGCACCCCCCAACGGCCCCUGCAUCAGCUCCCGCCUCCAGGUUCCUGCCCUGGUCCUGACUUCAGGAGGAACAGUCCUGUGAAGGGAAGCAAAGCAUGGUGGCACACGCCUGUAAUCCCAGCACAGAGGCACAGGCAGGCUGAUCUCUGUGAGUUCAAGGCCAGCCCGGUCUACAACAGGAGUCCAGGACAGCCAAGGCUACACAGAGACAAUGUCUCAAAAAAUCAAAAGACAAACAAAGAAAAAGGAACAAAAGACCCUCUGCCACUCCAGACUGACUAUCCCUAUUCCAAAGAAUCCAAAAUACUCUGAAAUCUGAUUUAAAAAAAAAAAAUGUUUAUUUGUGGGAGGAAGGGCACACAUUGAGCAUGGAGGCCAAGCCGCAUGAGUCAAUUUCUUCUCUCACCAUGUGGGUUCCAGGUUGAGAUUUGGUAGUCAUGUUUGGCAGCAGGUACCUUUGGCAGCUGAGCCAUCUUGUGUACUGUUUGGGCCUUUUUCUUUCUUUCUUUUAACUCUUUAUUUAUCUUGUAUGUGGGGGCGGACAUGUAUAUGCUAUAGAAUGGGUGUGGAGAUCAGAAGGCAACUCAAGAGAGAGUUGGUUCUGUCUUUCCACCUGGGGACCAAAUUUAAGUUUAGUGGAAGCAACUUUACCCACUGAGCAACUUCACAAGCUAAAUCUUUGUUGCUGUUCUUGUUUGUUUCCUUGGGGUUUUGUUGUUCUUUAGGGUUGUUGUUUUUUUUUAAUUAUAAUUUUAUUUAAAAAUUUUUACCAGCACUCUGGGAGGCAGAGGCAGAAAGAACUCUGUAAGUUUGAAGCCAGCCUAGUCUACAGAGUGAGUCUAGGACAACCCAGGCUACACAGAGAAACCCUGUCUUGAAAUGACAACCACGACGACGACGAUAAUGACGAUAAAAAAGGGACUUAAAGUUUUCUCUUCUUUGUCCUUCUCUUCUUUGUUCCUUCACGUUUGCUUUGUUGGCUCUGUGGCAACGUUUGCUCUGAUAGAGCAAACCCUUGUGGGCUUUCUGCUUAUCGAUAAAAGGUGGAAUGAAGGCUGAUUGAGCACGCUCCGUGCACAGCGGUGAGAGUCAUUGACCGUGAAGUCAUUUGUCCAGGAGCCAAUGACCAGAUAAUUUAUUUUACAUACAUGAUUGUUUUACCUGCACGUAUGUUUGGUGGACCAUGUCCUUGCCUGGUGCCUGUACAGGUCAGAAGACAGCUGUCGGAUCCCCUGGAAUUGGAGUUGCAGGUGGUUAUAAGCGUUCAUGUGUCUGCUGGGAGUUGGACCUGGGUCAUCUGGAAAAGCAGCCAGUGCCCCUAACUGUUAAGCCAUCUCUCUGGCCCUGUUGUCUUGCUUCUGAGACAAGCUCUCAGCCUGGGCUGCCUAUGAACUUGCACCGUCCUGCCUCAGUCUCCAGAGUUCAGGGAUUAUAGGCAUGCAUGACCACAUCUGGCUAAAUUCACUUCUUUAAUCCUCCCACACACACUUUUUGAGACCCCAGGCAGGCCUUUGAUUUGCUGCGUAGCCUAGGAAGGUGACCUUGAACUUCGGGUCUCCUGUUUCUACCUCUCAAGUGCUACAGGUGUGCAUCAGCACACUCAGCUUAUGGAGAGCUGCCAAUUAUUUGAAUUCAUAUGUGUGGGUGAAUGUACAUGCAAAUACAUGUACUCAAAGGCCAGAGGUCCACUCAAUCACUCUCUGGCACAUCAUGAU